CUGAGCUUUUUAAGCCAGCUCCCCCACACAGAGGUAAAGUAAUUACGCUCGAUUAGCAAGUGGCAGAUUUUGAAGAAUGAAGGCAAGAGGAAAUGCAAGCUGCUGAAGGCUCUCAAGCUCAGCUGGAGGAAUAUCCAGCCUCACUCACUGAGGUUCUCAGCAUGUUGGAAAUAUUUGAGCUGUGACCUUCAAGGAGCACCUGUACACCACA